rnacentral:rRNA from 1 species
AUUGAACGCUAGCGGGAUGCUUUACACAUGCAAGUCGAACGGCAGCGCGGACUUCGGUCUGGCGGCGAGUGGCGAACGGGUGAGUAAUGUAUCGGAACGUGCCCAUUAGCGGGUGCUAACUACGCCAAAGCGUAGCUAAUACCGCAUACGCCCUACGGGGGAAAGCAGGGGAUCGUAAGAUCUUCCACCAUUGGAGCGGUCGAUAUCGGAUUAGCUAGUUGGUGAGGUAACGGCUCACCAAGGCGACGAUCCGUAGCUGGUUUGAGAGGACGACCAGCCACACUGGGACUGAGACACGGCCCAGACUCCUACGGGAGGCAGCAGUGGGGAAUUUUGGACAAUGGGGGCAACCCUGAUCCAGCCAUCCCGCGUGUGCGAUGAAGGCCUUCGGGUUGUAAAGCACUUUUGGCAGGAAAGAAACGUCGCGGGCUAAUACCCCGUGGAACUGACGGUACCUGCAGAAUAAGCACCGGCUAACUACGUG